UUUUUUUAUUUUUUUUUAUUUACAGAACAGAGAUUAUUCUAGAUAGCAAUUUUGCCAGAGUACUAAGAAACUCUACUACCUCAGUCACUCUUGCCCCUGCCAAAAGUACUCCCAAGCUCCUUCUGAUAGUCCUUGGAUGCUUCAUAUUGCAGUACCAGCAGCUGCUGUGCUCCCCAGCUGCUUGUCUACAUAUAAGAAAAGCAGGUAACAUUUGCUGAGCCUAGCUAGGGAGUAAGAGUUUGUCAGCUGUCCAGUAUGAACAAAAUCUCAUGGAGCAGUUGUCUGCUGCUGCUGCCUCUCAGAUUGAAUCUCUUUCAUUAGCAGGGAACUGAAGAUGAGAAUAUUAUUAUUUUUGAGGGGUUACAUUGUAGAAAUUAGCUUGAUGACUGACUUUCAAAAAAAGUUCCUUCAGGGAGGUAAACUGGAAAAGACUACACAUAGAAAAUUCAGUGAGUGACAGAAACUGAUUCUCUUGAGAAUCUUAAUCAAAGCAAAAAACCUCCCAAAUUAGCUGACAAAAAAAGGCCUGUGAAUUAAGAGUACGUUCUCAGCACCUGCAAUUAUUUUCUCACAACAGCCUACAAAACCAGUCAUUUUAUGCAUGAAAAUCAAGUAGUCAAACAGUUUUAAUGUUUGACUACUAGAUUUGUUAAUUGUGAUAAACUAAUUGAUAAUUUAUUAAGAAAAGCAAGACAAAAUAAUAUUCAAUACGAAGAGCACUGAAAUUCUUCUUCAAUAUAAGUUCGAUCAUGCCACAAGUAGUUACUGUUAAAAAACACUUUUAAACUAAAUUUUAAGUUGCUGUAGAAGUGGUGCAAUGUCAAAAUUUUAUGUAAUAGUAAAUGAAGUCCAUGUAAGUUCUGCAUAAUAGAAAGGACGUCUUAAAUAAUACUUCAUAUUUAUCUACAAAUAAAGCACUAUUUCUGAACAGCCAACUAAUAAAAAUUUUAAAAAAUGAUAGUUAUGUUUUGGAUGAACAAAAAUUCAUUUAACUAUUUUAAUAUUUCUUUUCCAAAGCUACUUUCUAUUAGCCACUCUGUAGAGUACAAACACAACUAUAAUAUGCUAAAAAUAUAUACCUUGAACAUGCAUAUCUUAGCAAAGUUUUUCACUAUGUUAAAAAGUAGUAACGAAUUUUCCUGUUUAAUUGGCAUUUUUAGAAUGAGUACUAAAAGAAUAAGUACUAAAGUUAAAGAGGACACAAUCUUAAUUUUAUCUGUUUUGAAGAAAAUUAUCUUCUGGUGAAGUUAUCUGACAUUGAGGGAACCUACUGAUUUGGAAGAGCAACUUCCAAAUUACUCAGGAUGUGUAGUCUCACAGAACAGCUCCCAGGGGACAUUACUGUGUGGUAAGUGGUAGAGUUUGACAGGAUUUCAAGAUAGGACACCAAGCCCACUAUUCUACUUGCCAUGACAAAUCUGUCCUCUAUCCAUCAGCUAAUGGGGACAAUUUUUAUUGCUGAAUACCUUGUCUUCUACAACAAAGCAAUUAGGAAUUACCAGAACACCUGUAUUUUAUAGCAUUCCAUCUGAUGCAAGUACCAGCACAACUUGGUAUUUGGCCCUAACUGCAGCUACUUCUAAUUGAGAUAAUUGCUCAGUAAACCAAAGAAGCCUAGUGAAGCAAAUAAUUAAGUGUCACAAACUGCUGUGCUAAAUCUUUUUUUUUUUUCACCCUCACUAAGUAACUCAACCUAAGUCUUCUUCUACAUGAAACGGGAAAAUGACAAAUUGUUUUAUGUCUCUAUAUUAUCCAAAAAAACUUUUUUUCUUUACAAAACUUUGAAACAUGAAAUUGUUUAUAAGUACAAAGGAGCAGAAUACUUUGCUCCAAAAGAGGUCAACCUGAGUGAACAUUUCAAAGCUAAUCAGUGCAAAGUCUUUCCAUUUAAACACUUAACGGUGUAGGAAGACUUCAGACUCCAUCAUAAAUUUUCCAAAAUAAAAAUGUACAAAUUUCAGUUGAACACAAGGACAUGAUUUUUAAAUAUAAAUAUUUUAAGCAAUUGCGCACUGUUUAGGAUUUUUGAAAAUCAGUACUGCAGAUAUUCAUGUUGAUAAGUGAAAAGCUGAAAUCUCAAAGUGAUUUUCCUUUUUGAUAUAUAGGCUUUUGGGAAAGAAAAGAAAUAUUACAAGAAGUGAUUCACCUUCUCCUAAAAUAGUUUGCAAAGAGAACUGACAUGAAAGCUCUUGAGAGGUGUCCAUUUCUUUCCUUUAAAAGAGGGAGUCCUAAUUCCCUAGAUUAGAUUUGUGUUACUUUUCAAGAUAAGACUCCCUUUAAGAUUAAGAAAUUUAGAUGAAGAUACCUGCAGAUACAGACUGUCUAAAUGUUCUUUAUAGUCAACAGAGAUCUAAUCCACAUUCAGCAGAAUGAACGAGCUUACCAUAAAAUUAACACUGAAGACACAGUUCAAGUUACAUAAAUGCAAGUAAUUACUUUCAUAAAAACCAGAGUCAACAAUGAGUUCUGUCCCAAUCGCUGAGGACAUUUUCCCCUUAGGUCUUGAAAACUCCCAAAGACAAAGAUUCUAAAACUCCUUUUUUUCAGGACUAUUUUCAUCAUAACACUUAUUUUAUUCAUCUGGAACUUCCUUUGUUUCCCAUUACGACCAUUUGCUUUCCUUCCUAUUGUUUCCCUCAAUAAAGAUCCCAUCUCUAUCUUACUGGAAAUGUCCCUGUAUGGGAUUAAGAGCCUGCUGCCAGAUCCCCUUGAAGCCAUCUCUUCUGAAAGGCUGAGGAAGCCCAGUUGCCUCAGCCUCUCCUUACAGGGUAAGUGGAGCAGAUUGGCAGCUCUACAACCAAACUCAUUCCAGUCUGUUAAUGUCUUCCUCAUGAUAAGGGAGUAAAAAUUUGAUGCAGUAUUCCUAUAGGAAAGUGAAUAAACACUAAGUAAAGGGAGCAGGAGUGGAAAAUUACUUCCUUAACUGACUGACUAUGCUCCUUUUGACAGGCCCACUGGGCCAUUAGACCUCAUCAUCACCAUGCACACUGCUGGCUCAUGUUCUGCUGCCUGCCUGCCAGGACACCAGCUCUCUUUCAGCAAAGCUGCAGCCCAACCAGCCAGACCCUACACUAAACUGGGAAAGGGAUUUAAGUUUAUCACAGGUGAGAAAUUUAAUAUUUGUCCUUAUUUACAUUUUUGGCUAUUUGUCCAGUAUCAAAGCCACCUAAAUAGCAACUUAAGCAAAAAUAAUGUCCCCUGGUUGGUGUCAUCACUCCUGUAUGUGUUAAAAUGGGAGUGGUGAAAUAUUGGCUGUCAUAUCCCCUGAAGCCUCAUGGCCCUACCUGGUAAUGAGUUCAUGGCCACACUGUUGUAUCACCUUUCCCAGCUGGGAGUGUUACGCUCACUGCUGAAAUAACCGUAUCCAACCUAUUUUACUUCCUAUGGAAAGUAGAAUGGAAGCAAAAUACGUAUAUACAAUAUUCUAACACAACAUGGCAUUGUAAUUUUUUGCAUUUUGAACAGAAGGGUGAAAUGGUGGAACUGCUGGCCCCUGACCGUGAGUCGGAAGUGUGCACAGGUAAACAAGCAGGCCAAUUGUAUUCUUGCCUGUAUCAGGAAUAGUGGGCCAGCAGGACUAAAGGAGUGCUUCUCCCCUGUAGUCAGCACAGGCAAGGCCACACCUCGAGUGCCAGUUCUGGGUCCCUCACUUCAAGAAGGACACUGAGGUGCUGGAGUGACUCCUGAAAAGGGCAAUGGAGCUGGUGAAGAGAGUGGAGCAUAUGUCCUGUGAGAAGCAGUUGAGGGAGCUGGGGUUGUUUAGGCUGGAGAAAAAAGAAAGCUCAGGUGACAUUAUUGCUCUCCAAAUGUUUGAAAGGAGGUUGUAGCCAGGUAGGGGAUGAGUCUCUCCUCCCAGGGAACAGAGCAAGAGGACAUGGUCUUAAAGCUGCACCAUGGGAGGUUGGACACUAGAAAAAAAUUCUUUGCAAAAAAGCUGAUCAGGCACUGGAAGAGGCACUGAGGGAGGUGACAGAACCACUGCCCCUGAAACUGUUUAAAGAAAGAACCGAUGUGGCACUUAGUGCCAUGAUCUAGUUGACAAGGUGGCAUUAAAAGAUUGGACUCUUAUCUCAGAGAUCUUUUCCAACCUAAUUGAUUCUGUCCAUCUGUGUUAUUUUAUGUAAAUUUUCACACCAGUUUACACAAGGAGAAGCAUCCUUCUGUGGCAAAUAUUCUCCAAAUGAUAUAAAUGUUUAUGGACUUCAUCCAGAUGAUCUGAGUUGUUUAAUUAAAGAAUCAUAUGAAAGAAGUAGCAGAAUAAGACUACAAAAAUCACAUCUACUAAGUCAUCACAUCAAUAUAUUUUUAUAUUAAUCUUCUCAUUUAUUAGCAUUGCACAAGCAAUCAGAGAAAAUACUGUAAAGUCAUUCCUACAACAAGAUAACUAAUAUAUGGUAACUUUUAAAUCCUUGUGAGAAAAGAAUUCAAAAACCUACAUAAGUCUUCUAACAAGAUUUUUCUUUUAUCUCUUUUGUUUUCUUGAACAGUUGGGGAAGCAUCUUUAGUAUAAUACCUCCCUUUAUGCUGCAAUUAACAAUAUAUCUUUUGUGGUAUUUUAAAUAUGAGGAUUAGCCAGACAGGAGUGAAAAAAUUACAGUCUUAAGGAGAAAAAAAUUUUGCAUUAGUAGGCACAAUUUCUACCCACACAACCUACAUAUACUUAAAUGCAUCCAUAUGAAUAGCUCCUUAAGAAAAAAAACUUGCCAAUUAAGAGUGUAAAUUUCAAAAAAGCUAAAUACAGUACUAACCAUUAUUCCCCAGGAGAAUUUCUACUAGCAUCAGUGUGUGUUAAGAUCUAGCUAACACUGGUUUUAAAAACUUAAUAAUUAAUUGAUCAACUUAGAAACAAUGCAAUUUUUCUUAAUUUAUUGCCACAUCUGAAGUAUAGUGAAUAAAGCAAGAUUAAUGACUCAGGAAAAGGUUAUGCUGGUCUUGGCUGAGAUAGUUUAAUAGGUACUAAGAUACUAUGAUGAAAAUGAACUCUCAACCAACCCAGUUGUCUCACUUUCCACCUUCCCAUUGUCUGCCCAUCCCCUCAUGGCGUUGAAAGAGGAUUUAACAUCUUUUUUCUUGGAGUCAUAUUUUUGUGCUUUUGAAAAUUUUGAUUUCAUGUUCUGUCUGAAAUGAAAGAGUCUAUUUCAGCUUAUGUUUCCUAUUGCAGCUCCAUACACAUACAAUUUUUAGAACAGCAGCAGCUCUUUAAUGACAGUUCAAGAAUGAAGGUAAAAAAAAAAUUAACUGUCACACUACUGAAUAAGGAACUUCAUAGCUAUAUGUAAGAUAAAAGUGAAUGAUGCUUAUUCUUUCUGCCUGGAGCAGAUGUGUGAAAGGUAAUUUUAAUUCCUUUUCAUACUAUUAUUUUUUUACAUAUAUAAAGACUAUCAACUCUAACUCUUGUUGAGAUUUGAGAAUUAUUUCCUUUCAAAGUUUCAGUUAAGUCAUCUUGCUCUCUCAUUAUUUCUGCUGCUGUUCUGUGGAAAUUCUUUGUCUACAUGUUUCUGGAAUUUUGCUGCCUAGAGUAAGAUGCAAGCCUCUAGCAGGAAGAUAGAGAAGAGUAUUUCAGAAUUCUUAAACUUAUUCUCCCUCUAACUGUAGCACUGAUUCUUCCCCUCAGUAGAAUAAUGCUCACUCGUGAUCCAUUACAAGCUUUCAAACUGUCUCCUAGGGUAACGCUUUCUACCCGGUCUCUCCUGAAAUGUGUAGCAUACAUGCAAAUAUUCCAACUCUAUAAAGUAAAAAAGUUUGUCACUCCUUUUCUGACUGCCAUCCUAUUUGUUCAGAGAGUUUAUUUUUAUUCAGAUAAUUUCCCCUGUAUAUGCUUAUACUGUUAUAUCCUGGUCAUAGAGCUACUUUAAUGCAAUUUGCAAUGAAAUGGUACCUGUUUCUUCCUCCGGCUGCUUCCAAACGCUUUGAAUAAUUCUUAGUCCAGAGCAGAGAUAUUUUUGGAUUUCACUCAGCCCAUCACUUCAUUUGAUGGCAAAUCACUUUGCUGAUUUAAAAACUGUCUGCCACUCACCUAACAGUAUUUUUAUAUAGCUCCUGGUGCUCAGUAUCUACAACUCAUCCAACAGACUGCAAUCUACUUGUUCUGAAAAAGUAGAACAGAGAUACAACACAUCUCAAAAUGGAACACUGCCUGAAAAUUAGGCAUGAUCUUUGUAUUUCAAGAGCAAUCUCCCACCAGAAGACGCAUUCUGCUAUUCCCUGGUGUUUUGAUGCUGCUGUGCAAGCUCCUGAAGAAAGAAGGAAAAUUCACCAUCUGUUUAAUUGGUUUCUGGCUUGUUCAAUUGUAAAAGGGAACCCAGGAAAAGUCCACUUACAUGUCAGAAUGAGAACUGUACAUCAACAGUUACACAAGAGCCUCUUUGUAUCAUUCAAAUCAUAAAGGCCUCUAAGUCUUUCCAUAGUUUGUUCUGAAUUUUUAACUUCAGGGAAAGAAAUUGUACUACUAUGUGGAGUAUUUUGCUUGGGUCCCCACAGAAGAUUAGAUUACUCUAACUUCAGUCUCAGUAGCCUCUCAGUAAAAGAGGAGUUGCAAUCAAUGCCAUAUUAAGUUUAGCAUUCACAAAGUAUAGCAGCCAACCUACCUAAUUACAAGUUAAAAUUUUUAACUCCUGCCAUUCCAAACACACUUUAAAAAAAAAAUAAAGUUUGGAUGAGUAAUUAAGUAAAUUUGCAGGCACACUUUAUGAUUAUAUGAAUAUACAUGAAGGUCUGAAGAACAAUAAGUGAAGAAAUAGAGUUUAAUCAAAACUCAAAGUCUUUUUGCAACAAGAACAUAGUUCAAAAUAUCAGAAUUAAUUUCUUUAUUAAUGUCACAAUGCAUAUGUGUUUUUAUAACUCAAUCCUGGCUUUCUACUUUUUGUGUGCAAGAGAAGUAACAGAAGGCAGGCAUAAAUUUCCAUGUAUUUUGGUGUUAUUUCCUAAGUUCUCUAAAUAUAAGGAGUAAUAUAAUAUUCCCUCUAACAUGUUUCAGUAUAAAUGCAAUUAUCAGACAGGUUUCAUAGUAUAAUGUAUCAAAUAAUAUAACAACCAAAUUUAAUUAUAUGAUACAGUACUUUAAAAGAUUUUCAGUUUUAUGUUUUAGCUAGGGGUUGAACACCCAACUAGUGAUCAUAAAACUGUGCUGAGUUAUGCAUUUUUAAUAAUUUAGGCCUGUGUUUAUAAUCUGAAGGGGUGUCAUUUAUCCAUUUAAACACUCAUUUUAACUAAUGACCCAUGCAAUUGCUUACAGCAAGAGUCUUUACCUCCAUGUUUGUCUUUUCAAUAUUUCUUACAACAGAAGUAACCAGGAGAAGGAAUGUGAAUGUUAAGAUUAAAGUAACUCCUGCACUAUAGGUAGACACUACAUAUUGAUGUGGUUCAACCCUAAAGAUACCUAAAACUAAGUAUAGUAAGCUUAUAAAAACAAUAAAGCUUUAUAGAAUUUUGUACAAAAUUGAAAUAAAAAUUCAGUUUAUGUAAGAUUUCAAGGUAUACAGAAAUGUGUCCUUACAGGCAACUAUUACUUAUUAGGUGCCUUGAAAGGAAAAUGUUCAAAUGAGCUCUGAUAAUAAACACUAAUUUUUUCUUGGAUAUUAAGACAUCAAAAUGAAGUCAGCUGAGGUCAUCAGGAACAAAUAAGUCAAAACUAAAAAAUAAUCUAGGAAAUGGAGUCUUUAUGUAUGACCAUUAGCAAAAACAAAACAGAAGGGUUGAAGGAAGUGACCGCAUGAGAUGGGAGAAGCCUGUAAUCAUUUAAUCAUUUAGGAGCAAUGUCCACUAGAUUUUUCCAGUCGACAUUCAGAAGGCUAUGGUGUGCCAUUUAAAAUGUGGUAGCAAAAAAAAAAAAAAAAAAAAAAAAAAAAAAA
ensembl:lncRNA